rnacentral:rRNA from 1 species
UACGAAGGGGACUAGCGUUGUUCGGAUUUACUGGGCGUAAAGCGCGUGUAGGCGGAUCACUAAGUCAGGGGUGAAAUCCCGAGGCUUAACCUCGGAACUGCCUUUGAUACUGGAGAUCUGGAGAUCGGGAGAGGUUGGUGGAAUUCCGAGUGUAGAGGUGAAAUUCGUAGAUAUUCGGAGGAACACCAGAAGCGAAGGCGGCCAACUGGCCCGAUACUGACGCUGAGGCGCGAAAGCGUGGGAAGCAAACAGG